GGGACGAACGCUGGCGGCGUGCUUAACACAUGCAAGUCGAGCGGAAAGGCCCUUCGGGGUACUCGAGCGGCGAACGGGUGAGUAACACGUGAGCAACCUGCCCUUAGCUCCGGGAUAGCUCCGGGAAACCGGAAUUAAUACCGGAUACGACCACGGCCGACAUCUGCUGUGGUGGAAAGGAUUCCGGCUAAGGAUGGGCUCGCGGCCUAUCAGCUAGUUGGUGGAGUAGCGGCCCACCAAGGCGACGACGGGUA
rnacentral:rRNA from 1 species